GGCAUGCUUGAGCGAAGUGUACACACUUGCCACCAUGUUUCCCUCCUGUCAUAAAUGUGACAAGAGUAAUAUAGCUGAAGCAGCCAUCUUGUGACCACAAGCAACGGACUAGUAGGGGAAGAGUCGACACACUGAAGAGAAGAAAGCAAAAAGAAGAAAGAGAAAAGUGGAUUCUCAACUAGAAGCAAAAACAUCCACUGAAGUUUGUGAGAGUGCAAUAGGCAGUGCCACAGAUCUUUCUGAGGAAGUACUACCAUAUGACUUCACCUUCUCAGGCUGAGGUAUCAGCUUGACUGUCACUCCACAGAUCAAGACUAGAGGUAAAUGUAAACACUAUACAGGUGGGAUGAGAAACAGCUGUUCAGCUGCCUGGCUAGAAGAACAGGCCCAGUUCUUUGCUACAGGAUGGACAUGGAAAAGUUCAGGCAUUUGAAGUUACUGGCGUCAGCCACAUGAGAUUGAUGACGGGAUUGGCUUCUACAAGAGGUCCAUGUGGUUCUCAUUUCUGAAAACAGAUGUUUGGAAACCAAUGUUUUCAAAGAUAAUAUGAAACUACACCAAUAUGCUGCACUAUGGAGAAAAACUAACCUUGACAGAAGAAAAAAGAUUUUCUUGAGGCAGAAGAUGAAGGACUAUUGGUCGGGACAUUCACAGAAGUCUGUUCUGUAAGUUGGGUUAUAUGGAAGCAGAGAUGCUAGGUCAACCCAUGUUGUGCCCUCCCUCUUUUGGUAAGCAAAACACUGAUGCUUAUGACAUCUUCCUUUUCUUUGGUGGUGGCCUUGAAAAUUGUUAUUCCUUCCAGAAAGGGCUGGAUGUCACUCGCUUAUGAAUUUGAAUCCUUCUCUUUUUGCCAAAUGAUAGAACUGAGCUUGCUCCAUGAGCUUCAUGUGUGUAAACAUUAGUGGGGAUCCAAGUGGCUCUGCAGGUAGAAUAGACACUCAGGUCCCUCCUGCCCAAGUCCAGGGGCUUGCUUCCAUGAAUCCAAUCCUUUAGUUCAUAUCAGUUCAUGGUGUACCAGAAGCCUCAACACAUCUGCAAAUUUUUACAGAACAUGUUUGUGCAAGGAAAUAAAUUAGGUCACCAGGCCUUCAAAGGCUCCUUCCACUUAGGGGUGGUGGAGCCCAUGAAGCUGAGAAUCACCCUUGCCAGCUGUUGGAACUUGAAAUAAUCCUCCAAAAACCUCUUGCUAUUUUAGGAGGGUCAUCCUGGUGGGUCUGUGUAUGCUGUAAAAGAGUGGCUCACUAUUUAACCACCCAUCUCUACUGUGCUGAUUUAGGGACCACGAUCACUUGAGCUUUUCUUGGUGCCUGGGAUCUGUCUUUCUGCACAGGGAUAAUCUAGGCUUAUUUGUGGCUUUUUUCCCCUGCAUUUCCUUUACUUGCUCACUUUCCUUCUUUUCCUCACUAUGUUUCCAUUUGAAAUCAGUUUUCACAUAUGCAUUUCAGUGCAACUCUACCUUCAGGAACUUACUGGAUUACACAGGAAAUUCCUUAUAGUGUGUGACCAUCUGCACUGCAAACAAUUUUCAGGGAAUUGACUAGCUACUAAUACCACUUACAAAAAAUCUAAUAAGGGGUUUAACAUUUUCAUAAGGAAAAUUAAUAUUUAUAUUUUCUGUUUUGGUUGGGUUACAUUUUUACUAUUUUGAGAAAAAAAGUAUUGCAUUUUUAAAAAGUGAACAAAAAAAGCUCUCAUACAAUUGAAUGGUAUUGCCAAAAGAAAUUAAGAAGUCAGAAUUUGAUGAUUCAAUAUAUUAUAAAUAUAUUUUUGACCAUAGUCCUAAACUAUCAUCUGUCAAGUUGUAUUAUUUUGAGUACAUAAGUAUUUUUCAUGUUCUUAUUUGUUUUCUAUAAUGCCUCAUAACAUAUAUAGCUCUGUGAGUCUGUUCUUUCAGAAGAUCUUAUCUCUUGUUAGUUUUCAAGGAUUUCCAGGUUCACAGCAGCUGACUUUUUACUACACAUUUUAUGACUCUAAAACCAUUAGAAGAACAUCAAUGCUUCCCUAAAUUGGUUUUUUGGAGAAAAUGUAAUAUGUUUGAUGAAUUCAAAUAAAAAGAUGGAAACAUAACAGCAUAUUGGAUUACUUGUUAAUUUUUCUUUCUCAAAUGUUUUAUAUUGAAAGGAAUUGAUUUGUGGAGUACAUUUUCAAACCAAUUUCACCUUCGUUUCUAGAAAAACUACAUUUUGUCCUAGAAAGCUAUCGACAUUUCAUCAGAGGAAAUAGAUUCAGAAUUGCUGCCCAGUAAAAUCUUUUUUAGCGAUAGUUCUCUAUCUUUCACCAAAGACAAUGCAAUUGACCUUGGGUUGGAGGAUAAAAAGCUGCCAUUAUCAAGUGACAGAAUAACUGGUUGUCUUCCUCUGCUAGGUUUUUGGCAUCACAGAGUUCUCUGAGUCAAGCUUUCACAUAGAGAAAUAACUAAUCCAAUAACUAUAACAACUUAAAUUAUACAAUUACUUUAUCUUUGUCAAUUUAAACUGGUGAGUUUAUCAAAAACAAAAACGGAACUUCAAACACAUUUAGAGAUCAUAAGCAUAAGUGAAAUAAGACUUAAAGGUAUCUUACCAUCUAAAAUCAUCACAAGUCAAUUUCAUAUACCUUAAGAUGUUUAUCUCUGUGCCCUGCCUCAUUUCAGAACAGGAGGCCAGAAUCCAUUCAAAUUAAAAUAGUUUCAAAUAGCAAUUCAAAAACAAACCCAUUAAUUGUCUCUUUCCAAAUGAUUA
rnacentral:lncRNA from 1 species